GACUGGUCUGAAGGUAGUGAGUUAUCUCAAUUGAUUGUUCACAGUCAGUCACAGAUUGAACUCCUUGUUCUACUCUUUCCCCCCUUCUCACUACUGCACUUGACUAGUCUAAA
rnacentral:Y_RNA from 1 species